rnacentral:rRNA from 1 species
AACGCACCUUGCGCUCCUGGGCUAUUCCUAGGAGCAUGCCUGUUUGAGUGUCGUGAAAUCAUCAACCCCAGUUGGAUUUGAAAUUUGACUGGUGGCUUGGACUUGGGGGUUUGCUGGCCGUUUUGAUUCGGUCUGGCUCCCCUUGAAUGUAUUAGCUUGGACUUGUUCCUAAGGCUUCAUGGCGUGAUAAUUAUCUACGCCUCAUGACCGAUGCUCUUGUUCUGCUUCUAACCGUCCAUUACUUGGACAGCUCUUUUGACAAUUUGACCUCAAAUCAGGUAGGACUACCCGCUGAACUUAA